rnacentral:misc_RNA from 1 species
ACAAAUCCGGUGCGGGCGUGUCUGUUGUGACGGCACUGCGCCCCUCGGGGUGCAUGCUGUCUGCAUCGCGCGCCCAAACAUUAAUCCCACAUUGCAGCGAUGCAGUGUGGACCGUGGCACAUUUGAAGUUGGACAGAGCCGUCAGGAGCAACAACAACAAUCAGUUGAUGAUUGAA